UAUUUAUCAAGAGAGCAGUGAGGGAACUAGCCCAAUGAACUGCCGACAACCUGUUGUGUUGUGUACAGCGCAACAAGGUGCCACUUCUAGCCCACAAGGGAAAGAUAAUCA
rnacentral:ncRNA from 2 species